GCUGCCACUAGUCAGAAAUCAGGCACCUGACUUCGAAGCUGAGGCCAUUUUUGAUCAAGAGUUCAUCAAGGUAACUGAAGUGACUACGGAUGUGUGCUUUUGAAGUGGUGAGUGGUCUGUUGAAUUUACAUGUUUGGGCGAGUGGAGGUUUGUGAUAUUAUUCAUGAGCAUCCAACUAUUUCUCGGUUUCAUGCUGUUUUCUAGUUCAACAAAUCUGGUGGUGCUUUCAGUCAUUAACUUGAUUUGUAUUCGAUAAGUAAUGUUACGGCCCCGAAGAGGUCCUACGGUUCUGCAGAAUCAUUGACUGUGGUUGAACUGUAAGUAUCCGCCGUGUUGAUCUAGUACUCUUCAGAAGUUGUGAUUCAUCAUUUGGACUUCCCAAUAGGCACAGAGAUAUAAUCUUGCGGUGGGUGGGAUGAUGUAACACCGAGAACUUGACAAAGAAUUGUGGUACCGAGCUUCCGGGGGAAAGAAGAGAGGCAAAGUAUAUGGGUUAAGCAAUCUUAAGAAUGAUUUUAACGUUCAGCAUCAUGGCAAACAAGACCAAGAGAUCGAAAGAUUCAACGUGAUUAUCCAAGAUAUGGUGAAAGAAAAAGAAGAAGAAAAAGAAAGGCUGAACGAUGUUAUUGCAGGAUUGAUGGUGGAAAAAGAGAAAGAUAAGGCGGAGAAAGAGGCUAUGAAUGAGAGGAUGUCAAACAUUGAAGCGAUGCUAAAAGCUAGGUUUCAAAACGUAUAAACACUUUGUUUUGGAUAUGUAUUUUGUUAUGAUAACUUUUGUAUUUGAUGUUUCAAGUGGGAUGUUUUAUAUAAUUGUGAAAAUUUGAUAA